CUUGCAAACCUGUCCUUUGCUUCCUGUGUUGUGGGAGAGCACCUAGCCUGUAGUGAAAGCAGAAAGGGGAGGUGGAAGAAGGGUGUUUUUUCUGCCUCUCCCUCCAUGAGGAACUCUCUCCCCUUGAAGAGUAUCUCUGCCCUGCUGAAAACCCAGUGCUGAGAAGGUUUUGCUGCUCCAGCAGGUGGCCUAGCAGAGGGACAGAGGCUAUAAAGAGUGCUCUAAAGGACUAUUUUCUCCCCGUAUCCAUGCUCCAAAGGACGAUCUUCCUCCACAGAUCCACACAGGUAACCCAGGAGGGCUGGUGUCCUCUUCCAGUGCCUACCUGACCAGAAGUGACUGCCCACCUGCCUGCUCCGGUCUCUGACACUAAGAAAAGUUUUGCUCAACCCCCUGCACAACGUCCAGUGGUGUUGGGGAUCAUUCAGCUGCCACCCAGAGUCCUACAGUAUAAUGCCGUAACAAGAUGUUGUAAAACAAACCAUAAAAUGUAAAUGACGACUGUACCUGAACUGAAAAUACACUGGAGGCUAGAAAAAGAAGGGAGAGAGGAAAGGAAGCCAUAGCCAGCAUGCCUGAAAACCAGCAGUACCUUGUGGUGGAGCACAGGAUUCAUCUGGGUGACAUUUCAAAGGAUAAAUACAGAGCACUGGCCUGUUUUGACCUGAGGCUACAGGCGAAAGGUGUCCCCUAAGGUUAGGAGAGAGCUUGUCAAAAAGGCAGCGUAAAUUUGCAGAGGUAAUCACCAGUCUAUCUCCUCUCCCCACUGCCCGUGGAACUAUUAACUAAUAUCACUGUCUAAUCUUUUUUGUACUUAUUUAUUUUGCAGCGAGAAACUAGUGUUAUAAACACCCCUACUGUCAAAACUUGUCAUCCUCAUUACCUCAAGGCGGGCUCCAUCUCAGUUAUUCUAAUUUCAUAGUUUCUCGAAUUUACAGCCGCUGGAAAUUGAGUACAAAAUCCAUUAUCAUUUGUAUAUUUUAAUUAUGCAAAUGAGGCAGCUCAGCUGCUCUGGCCGGGACCUGCAGGGAUGCCUAACUUCAGUCUGGGUGAUUACAAUUUAUCCAGUCGAGUCACUUUAAUUGUAACAAGCUAAUUACAUUGUUCCAUUUGGCUUUAACAAAAGAAAGGAGACGAAGAUGCUUAAUGGCAAGGGCCCGGCGUUGCGCUGCCUCUCCCGGCGAGAGCAAGGGGUGAGGGGGACCCGGAGGUUUUGGGGACCCACCCCGGGCACGGUGGGAUGGGAGGGAGGGCAGGAGGUGCUGGACGUUGGGGCAGAUCUGAGCAGCAGGGGAAUUUGGGGAGGGGAUGUUCCCCAUUCCCAGCCAUCACUGGAUGGGAGCAAACUGUCCUCGAUAUGCAGGGGGUGCUGGGGGAGCUCAGCACCAUGCCCCUGCUCCUCCAGCCCAUCCUCUCCCCACUGGGAGUCUUACAGAGACAUAUCCCUGCCUCAGCCGAGGUCUCAAGGACUGCUGGCUAAGUCCCCAGGUGCCCACUUUUUAUCUCCUUUGUAAGAAAUAUUAUCUGCAUUUAUAGGCAUUUCAUUCAGGUACAGAAAAAAAAAAAAAUUAAAAGAAAAUCUUACCACCUCCAGCAGCCCAGAUCAGCAAUUACUUUCUCAGACCCACAAUAAAUGCUCAGUACCUAAAUUAAAUACCCAGGAGAGAUGUAAUAUGGCUGCCCACACCUUCAAGGAGGCUGUUAAUAAAUAAUUACUUCUCUUGCACUGGCCAUCUGAGGAUCUCAAAACCUUUUGCAAGCUUUAAUGAAUGAAGCCUCGGUAAAGCAAGGCGUAUCCUUAUCAGCUCUUUAUAAAUGGGGAACAAAGGUGCAGAGAGGCAGAGCAGCUGUAGGUUUUCAAGGUUAGAGGUACUUGUUUCAGCCGGACAGCUCCUGCUCCUUCUUAUAUCCGUGUGCUGAAGCUUGAAGACCACCCUGGAGAUCAGAUCCCAUCCCCAGUCAGCACAGCUCUUCCAGGCAGGUCCCACGGUGUCAUGCCGUGACACUGGCCAUCAGUUUCCUCCAAGCCUCCUUACCCAGAGGAAGGACUGCUCAUCAGGUACUGAUUGUGGGGAGGGUGUCUCGCCCAAGGCUGGUCUGAGGUCUGGAAUGAAGAAGGCGUUGUGCAAGGGAAGGAAAGGACAACUGCAUGGAGCUGGGUGCCAAGCCCUGGCUAGAUGCUGGGGGCAGAGAGAACACAUUUAAGGACAGCACCUCAACCAACGAGCAAAAAAAUGUUGAAUGUUGUGCAUGUGGGAUGUGCAAUUCAUUUGUGAAAAUUGGUCAUGUUGGCCUCAAAAACACCCCAAGUAGGGAGCCUGAUGAGGCCUCUCUCCCCGCUGGCAAAGCCAUUUCAGCCUUGCAGCACAUGAGCCGUGCUGCCCACGUGUGACAGCGAGCUCUGUGCCUUCCUUGCAUCAGUCCUCAGCGCCACCAGGAAUCAGGACCACCACCUCUAAUGACAGCCUCCACCGUGAGACCUUCAGCAUCUCUGCAGAAGCAUGCAGAAGGGUUUGGCCUCUAAUUCGGAUGCUCGCACCUACCUGCCCUUGGAUAAACACCUCCCGUCUUCAAAAUAUCUGCCUGACGACUGCGGGAUUAACCGGAGAAGAGAAUAAUGAUUCCUUGGCAGGGAAGAGACGAAAGAACCACAUAGAUCUCUUCCCUCUCCAGUUGCUAGGGAUGUGCAUUAUUAUUGUUAUUGUUAUUUCCUUUGAUACACAGCAUUCAAUUAAUUUUCUUCGACACACGUUUACGGCGCUCCAAGGAGCGUUCCAGGAGCGCUGCUUUUCCAGCACAUCCAGUUCGCCAGCAUCCUUUGUGCCAGUUCGGGUGCUUUGGAGGGGGGAGGAGGGGAAGAGCAGAGGAAAGAGGGGCCAUCCUUCCCAAAGAAGCACUUGCCCUUGGCCACGUGCACAGAUGCCGAGGCGAGGGAAGCCUGGGCGCUGCUCACCGUAUCCCCAGGUGAGCGUUCACGGGGUCCCGUUCAAUAAAGCAGCAGUAACCACCAUCUUGCUGCAUUCCCUUGCCAGCCACCAAACCAUGGCAGGGAAAGGAAAUUGAACCCAUUAAACACACACACAGAUGCCUCUGUGCCGUUGCCCUGCUCAGGAGGGGAGGAAGGAGCCUCUAUUAAUUUUUUUUUUCCUAUUGUGCCUUUACCAAAUGCAGUCAUUUAAUCAUUAAAAAGAGGAGGGAGAGAGCGAAAAAAAUAAAAAAUUAAAAAAUAAUAAUAAAAAAAGCGUGAUGAGGAGCGGCAGCAGCUAAUGUAAUAUCCAUGCAGUGAGUCUCCAGGAACGAGGCACAGAAAUUGACUGUCAC